UAAACUACGAUUAGAUACCCUAUUAUUUUAAAUGUAAAUAAAAUCUUACUUGAGUAGUAAUAGUUAUGUUCUUGAAACUCAAAGAAUUUGGCGGUGUUUUAGUCCUUUCAGAGGAACCUGUCCCGUAAUCGAUAAUCCACGAAAAACCUUACUUAAUUUGGUUUUCAGCUUGUAUACCGCCGUCGUCAGAAUGUCCUUAGAAGGUUUUAAUUUUCUUAAAUUUUUAUUAAAAAUGAUGUCAGGUCAAGGUGCAGUUUAUAAUUAAGUGGUGAUGGGUUACAAUAAAUAUAUUUAUACGGAAAGCAUCUUGCAAGAGAUGUUAGAAGGUGGAUUUGAUGGUAAUUUUAUUAAUUAAGUUAAUUUGAUUUUGGCUCUAAAACAUGCACACAUCGCCCGUCGCUCUUA
rnacentral:rRNA from 1 species